GCUUUUACUAAAUAAAUAUGUGAGGAAUAAGAUAUACAAGAAUGUUGGAGAUACAUCUAGCACAUGUUUACAUAUGUGAGAGUGACAACACACACAUCUAUUCUACACCACUUAUCCUCCUUCACUAGUCAACAAGUUUGGAAGCUAGCUAUUUUGGUGAUGGAGCCAAGGGAUCUCUAGAGGAGCAUCUUCUUUCUUUCUCCCCCACUCUCUUUCUCGAUUAGGGAGCAGCCACAAGACUCCAAAGCUCUAGCCAUGUACCUGCAAAUUAGCACAAAAAUGGGGUUAGAAGAUGACUCACAAAUAACAAGGAAGGGAGGCACAGGCUCAAAUGGGAAAGUGGAGUAAUAGACGAAAAUAGUGCAGCUAGGAGGCUGUCAUUUAGAGCAUGAAGUCAGCCUAUUUUUGUCACAUUCUCAACUAGCAUCAAAGAGGAACCAAGACAAGAGAGCAUAGUAGAAUGAGCCUCUACACAAGCCCAAUAUAGACAUGAGCAAGAUUCUGUUUUUCCAUCGAUCAAGGCUGAGGAAACAGCCAAGAGAGACAGCCACACAUACACCAAAAUAGUAAGGAUAGCAUGAACAUCAAGCUCAAAAGUAGUGGAGCUGGCAUCCCCAAAAUAGGAGCCUUUGCCUCCAAGUAUCAAGCACAAAAGGCCAAAGAUAGAGCACUAUAUAAACAACACCAAUCUCCUUCUCCUCCCCUCAUUCUCAACACUGUAAGAUCACCAAAUAUUCAAGAGAGCAGCAAGAAGUGGAGGAGGGGCAAGGAGGAGUUUGAGGCAGGACAUCGGUCCCCAUCCGAGAGGAUUCUUCAAAUUGAGGUUAUCUCCGCGAGUUAAGGGUGGAGUCAGGAAAAAUUCAAGUUAAGGAGCUUUAAGCGAACGAGUGAUGACGGCGGGCGGUGUUGAGCAUAGACGAUGAAGAUCCUUCGAUAGAAUAGUACUUGGAUGCGUCGUGUCUCCAUACACGAUGUCAUCUGCUCUUGACUCUUCCGCUGCAAUGUAAAAGUUGAGAUUUCAUUCUCUUGUACCAUGCACUCUGAUUUUUAUAUAUAUUCCAAGUUAUUUCAGUUCAA